UACGGGAGAUCCAAGCGUUAUCCGGAAUCAUUGGGUUUAAAGGGUCCGUAGGCGGUUUGGUAAGUCAGUGGUGAAAGCCCAUCGCUCAACGGUGGAACGGCCAUUGAUACUGCCAGACUUGAAUUAUUAGGAAGUAACUAGAAUAUGUAGUGUAGCGGUGAAAUGCUUAGAGAUUACAUGGAAUACCAAUUGCGAAGGCAGGUUACUACUAAUGGAUUGACGCUGAUGGGCGAAAGCGUGGGUAGCAAACAGG
rnacentral:rRNA from 1 species